rnacentral:tRNA from 1 species
CUUAAGGUAGUUUAAUCUAAAACUCUGAGUUGUGGCCCCAGCAAUGCACAUUAUUGUGCCCUUAAUC